AGAUAAUACAGUUCAUUCCUAUCUUUCAAACCGACUACACGUCGUGUGAUAUAUCGCACAAAUUAAGAUUAGAUUGAGUAAACGAUAAGCGUAAUGUGUUAGAAAAUGUACAAAAUUGUGAUCGUUUGAAAAAUCUUAUCGCUUUAUCUAACUUUCGUCAUUUCAGUGCUAGUAAAAACAGUAAUAUUUAAAUUUACGCACCUACAAUGUCAAAAACGAAUGAUUACACAAUACUAGUUUAAAUUUAAUGAGAAAUUCUAAAAAAACGCUAAAUGUUGGCAGUGUACAGUAGUUUCGCACAAUUCGUUCAAUUGUCUGGUAUUAUUUGAGGACAUGUGGGUGGCUUACCACUUUCGACAUCACGGCUGAGAAAGUUCACUCGGAGAUUCACACUGUUGCGGCUCACAAUAUAACUCCACACUGUAGUACGUCACCGUUAUUUAAAGUUAUAUUUCGUCGAAGCGCACAGUUUUCACUCAACACUCCGUUGAACCGAGCACUGACGAUCAAGUGGCGUCGUCGUCGACGAUAUAAUCAAGAAGAAUGACUUUGGUGCUACGACCACAACGAAGACAACGAUUACGACAGAUUGCUCUGUGCGUGUGAAGAGAUAACGACUAGCAUGGAAUAGGCGGUAUUGGAGCCGCGUUACCCACACCACUAACCCACGAGAAUUUCGCCGCGAGCAAAAGGCAUGCUACUUCUUUGUCACAGCUGUGCGUCCAUUAUCGUUUCCAGACUUUGAUACGAGAGAAAGUAACACAUAGAAAACUAAUUAUUGAUAUUAUUCAUAUCAUGUUGAUAAACGAUGUUGCACGUGAACUUAGCGAAAUUCAUGGCGCUAAAGCUUUAGCUUUACGAAUAUGUGGUCAUUUCGGGGACCGUGUUAACGCUACCAUUAAACUCUCAAUGAUUAACGUAAAUAAAACAAUUAUGGUUUUGGUAUGAACACACGAGUCAAAUGAUAUAAGUUGGAAAAUAUAUUGUGUAAAGAAACAAAUAACAAUGCAAGAUUUUGAAUAAAAGUAGGCGGCAUGUGAAGAGCCACUAACUUAUCUCCUAAAAUAUAUGUUACCAGAAUCUAAUGGAUGGUACAACGAAUAGUAGAGUAGCUUAUGUGAUAUAAAAAUGUAUAUUUAUCAGCAUUAGAAAUCUUGGAAAUUCCAAAUAUAAAAAAAGACGAAAUUUUAUUUAAAAGGUAUACUACGAUUGAAGGUGUAUUAAAUUUGUUUGAUUAAAUAAUUGUGCAGAUAAGUUUUUAUGAACUCAAAACAGUAUUAUAUCGUAUUCCAUGAUUCGAAUGAUUAUUUUUGUUUCGAUUAAUUUUUUGUAAUAUUAUCUUAAUGAAAAGAACGUGUUAAAUAAUACUUACUGGAAAAAAUUUUUAUUCUGAAAUAAGAUAUUGUUUCCAACAAUAUGAAGAAAUAUCGAUUCUGUAAAAUACAACAUAAAUGUUUCGUCAUAGGUAGUUAGCAAUUAUCGGCACGUGUUAGAUACUGUAGAGGAAAGAAUUAAGGAGUGAGAGAGAUCAUGUGCGAUUUUCAGAAUUACCUAGGAGUAACAUGACGUAAAUCUAGGUGUGAUUAAACAACGACUCCUGGUAGAAGCUUAUGUGACUACCAAUAGUCUUCAACUAUAUAACAAUUAUAUAUAAACUAAGAUUAGCACAAUACAUUUACUAAAGUUUAUAAAAGACAACAAUACAGACGAUGGCAUGCGUGUAAAUAUGAGUCAUACUGCAUAUUACAAAACAUUUUCAACGAAAGGUUAAAAAAUACGUGCAGUUGCGGGUAUCAUGACUAAGGUCACUGAUCGUGUUAUACAAUAACAUUGCGGCAAGAUAAAAUUUGCGAUUUUCGAAGAAGGUCCGAAUUUCUUUCUCGUGACCGUACAUUUAUAAAUGUACCAAUGCGAAAAAUACGCGUGUAUUACAAUGUAACGUGUAACCGACAUGAUACUGAAUAUCCAAACAAUCACAUUAAAAACUUAAUAUUUUUAAGAAAUCUUUUUAAGAUAUGAAAUAACUAUUUUUCUAUUUGAUACAACUUACGCAAGAAUAGGAAUUAGGAAUUUCGUUUCUUUCACAGCAUGGAUUCAAAAUUUAAGAGUAAUAUUUUUGCAUCUUUUUAUUAAAUCAGGUUAAUCGUUGCGUUACUUCGUCAUUUAAUCGAUAAAAUUAAUUUUGUAAUUUAUUUUUAUAUAAAAUAAUACAAUUAGAAUUAUUAUCAGCUAUUAUUUUUUUAAAAGUUUUUUCGAAAACGCUACUACGAUAUAAAAAUUUAUAUACGUUACAAAGUAAUCAUUUUUUUGCAUAGGAUUUCCAUACUCACUGGCAUGAAGUAAAAUAUUUAAAAAAUUUAAGAAUGUAGAAAAAGUUUACGUAGAUGUUAUUUAAGAAAAUUGCAAUUUAUUAACUGUACUUGAUUAAUAUUAAUUAUUAAUAUUAAUUCAACGAAUCAGCGAGUAGUACGGUUAUAAAUCUCUGAAAUCAUUUUAAAUGAAUAAAAAUAUUUUUUAAGUGUUUCGUGAUGAUACCACUCAGUUUUAUUUUUGCAGUUACUUUAAAUUAGAUUCAAAUAUUUCUUCUGUAUUAAUAAUUUUGUAGUGUAACAGUUUAGAUUUGAGAUAGUUUAAUACUUCAUUUAUGGUUUAACUGGUAUUGAAAUGAUCUUUAAUCUACCAGUAUAUAAAAAUAUAAGAAUAAAGUUAUCAACGCGAAAGAUAUUGGUAAUUGCAACAUGUUGCAAAAUGCAGAUUUAAUGUUCUCAUUCAUGAUUUUUUGCAAUAAAGCGGUUAUAUUUCUGACAAAUAUACGUUCAGAACUUCUGUUUAUGUAGUCUAUAUAUGUACACAGUUUAAUCUAUGAUAUGAACUGGGUAAAUACUGAACGUUUUUAAUCGAUAAAUUUUUUAAAAUCGUAAAUGCUUUUUCAACUGAUCAAUGUAUUUUGAAUUUUCUACAAGUAUGAUGUAGUCUAGAAAUAUAAUUGAAAAUUCUGAUUGAAAA